rnacentral:antisense_RNA from 12 species
UUAGAUAUUGGCUGUUUCACUCUGGUUAGAGCCACCAACUCAGCGCCAGAAUGUAAAAAAACCCGAUUCACCAUCGGGUUUUUUUAC